rnacentral:misc_RNA from 1 species
GACACCACUCGCCCCUCUUCUCCUCCGGUCUUUCGGGACUGAAAGGGGUCGCGGCGGCGGACUUUGAGUGUUCCGGAGUUCCCAUGCUCCGAGUGCACCUAAUCUCGUGAACGAAGCCUCUCGCGCCCUGCCGCACAGAGUUGUUGACGGCGCUCGCUUCGGAGGCGACUCUCGACUCACCAAACGUGCGCAGGCUGCCUGCUUCAUUCCGGCGCUCCGACGCCGACCCGGUCAAAAAGGUCAGCGUUGGAAACCGUACCACUUUCG